GGAGAGAUGGAUGAGCGGUUUAAGUCGCCCGCUUGGAAAGCGGGUAUGGGUUAAUAGCCUAUCGGGGGUUCGAAUCCCCCUCUCUCCGCCA
rnacentral:tRNA from 1 species